UACGUAGGGGGCAAGCGUUGUCCGGAUUUAUUGGGCGUAAAGCGCUCGCAGGUGGUUCGUUGCGUCGUGCGUGAAAGACCCCGGCUCAACUGGGGAGGGUCGUGCGAUACGGGCGAACUGGAGGCCAGUAGGGGGAUGCGGAAUUCCGGGUGUAGUGGUGGAAUGCGUAGAGAUCCGGAGGAACACCAGCGGCGAAGGCGGCAUCCUGGACCGGGAUUGACACUGAGGCGCGAAAGCCAGGGGAGCAAACGGG
rnacentral:rRNA from 1 species